GACGAACGCUGGCGGCGUGCCUAAUACAUGCAAGUAGAACGCUGAAGGAGGAGCUUGCUUCUCCGGAUGAGUUGCGAACGGGUGAGUAACGCGUAGGUAACCUGCCUGGUAGCGGGGGGUAACUAUUGGAAACGAUAGCUAAUACCGCAUAAGAGUAGAUGUUGCAUGACAUUUGCUUAAAAGGUGCAAUUGCAUCACUACCAGAUGGACCUGCGUUGUAUUAGCUAGUUGGUGGGGUAACGGCUCACCAAGGCGACGAUACAUAGCCGACCUGAGAGGGUGAUCGGCCACACUGGGACUGAGACACGGCCCAGACUCCUACGGGAGGCAGCAGUAGGGAAUCUUCGGCAAUGGACGGAAGUCUGACCGAGCAACGCCGCGUGAGUGAAAGAAAGGGUUUUCGGGAUCGUAAAAGCUCUGUUGUAAAG
rnacentral:rRNA from 1 species